rnacentral:lncRNA from 1 species
UUUAUCUGGAGCAGCUUUAAAGAACAGAAAGCGAAAAGGCCAGGGGGCAAGCGUGUGAAUCAGGAAGGCCACCUCACAAUUGGCGCUAAUUGCCCCAGGAGAGAGCCAAGAACAACGUGGCCAAAGAGAAGAGCGUCUGGCCCGCAGAUCCCGCACCUGGGAGGCAGAAACGUGCUGUUGGGCAGUGGAUAAUGGGCGCCCAUGAGAGCCAUCCGGACAUCUGGGCUCCCCAUGCAGGAAAAUGUAACCCUUCAGGCCCCACUUGCCAUCUGCCUUUUGAGUUCUGGUUUUCUGUAAGUCCUCGGACAUCAAGGGAGAGCCCGUGGCUUUGUGAGUGGAUGGGUGGGAAUUACCGUGACUCCCUCCGUAAGCACCUGGUCACCAGGGAGCCUGAACAGGGCAGCUCCCAGUGCCCAUGGGAGGAGCUCAUUCUAUCAACAGAUCUCCAAGUGUGGCCUGGUAGCUCUCCCAGGGAGCCCAGGCUGGUGCCCCAGCCUCUCAGAAAGUUGCCAGGGUUCCUUAGGGAGAAGUGGCCUGAGCUUGGGAGGGCACCCUCUUUGUCCUCUCUACUCUCCCCAUCACAGUGUGGUUAUAUCUCUGGGGGCAGAUGAUGAACCUGCUCUCCAGGAGAAUCUCCUUAUGUGGACAGGGUAGGAGUAGUAAGGUGGGGGCUCUUUAUGAAUUCUGGAGAAAUAAACUUCAUUUGUUCUUCUCUUUGCAAUUCAUUAGUUUCUGCAGAAGGUCUAUUUUUCUAAUUAUUUUUAGCCUGGCCUAAUGGUGCAAUGUUGAGCUCCCUGAGAACACAUGGAGGUUAGUGGAGGAAAGAGACUAGCGGGUGGGGGAGUGCCAGAUGGGGAGAGACUCCCGCCAGCUGCAGUGAAUCCUGACUCGGACGCAGCACUCAAAGACCAGCCGGGAGCUGAGCUUUCCCUCAGUCUGCCUUGCUUCCUUUGCAAGGUUGUCCAGAGCUUUUGCCAAUAAAUUAAUUUAAUUUCAAGCAGGCCACAUCCAAAGGACUUAAAAAACAAUACCCAGUACAGCCAUGCCUGUCAAUCUAGUGCCUGGCCUUGGUGGAAGCUGGUUGUUGUCAACACUCAAUUAGGAUCACCUGGGAAGAUUUUUAAAAAACGAGCAGGUCAGGGCCUCACCCCGCGGAGAUUGCUAUUCAUUUGGUCCAGGGUGGGGAUGCCUCACCCGCAUCCCAGGUGAGUCUACCUUCCGCUGUAGGCAACGUGAUUGCUCAAAGUCCCACACAUCUGCAAAUCAGACUGUUCUUGGAACUGAGAACAAAGAGUGCAGUGUCACAUGAGGAGAAAUAUCUCUCAUAAUAAAGUCCAUCCUGGGCUGGUGACACCCUGUCUCUACAAAACGUAAGAAAAGUGGCUGGGUGUGGUGGUGUGUGCUGGUGAUCCCAGCUACACCAGAAGCUGAGGCAGGAAGAUCUCUUGAGCCCAGGAGGUAGAGGCUGCAGUGAGCUAUGAUCACACCACUGCACUCCAGACUGGGCGACAAAGCAAGACGCUGUCUCAAAAAAGAAAAGAAAAAUCUUGCCGGGCGCAGUGGUUCAUGCCUGUAAUUCC